GGUACAUCGGUGACAGGUGGUGCAUGGUUGUCGUCAGCUCGUGUCGUGAGAUGUUGGGUUAAGUCCCGCAACGAGCGCAACCCCUAUUGUUAGUUGCCAUCAUUCAGUUGGGCACUCUAGCGAGACUGCCGGUAAUAAACCGGAGGAAGUGGGAUGACGUCAAAUCAUCAUGCCCCUUAUGACCUGGGCUACACACGUGCUACAAUGGUUGGUACAACGAGUUGCGAGUCGGUGACGGCGAGCUAAUCUCUUAAAGCCAAUCUCAGUUCGGAUUGUAGGCUGCAACUCGCCUACAUGAAGUCGGAAUCGCUAGUAAUCGCGGAUCAGCACGCCGCGGUGAAUACGUUCCCGGGCCUU
rnacentral:rRNA from 1 species